rnacentral:tRNA from 1 species
GCGCCUGUAGCUCAGUGGAUUAGAGCGGAGGCCUCCGGAGCCUCAGGUCGGAGGUUCGAAUCCUCUCAGGCGUACCA